GGGCCCGCACAAGCGGCGGAGCAUGUGGCUUAAUUCGACGCAACGCGAAGAACCUUACCAAGGCUUGACAUACACCGGAAACAUCCAGAGAUGGGUGCCCCCUUGUGGUCGGUGUACAGGUGGUGCAUGGCUGUCGUCAGCUCGUGUCGUGAGAUGUUGGGUUAAGUCCCGCAACGAGCGCAACCCUUGUCCCGUGUUGCCAGCAGGCCCUUGUGGUGCUGGGGACUCACGGGAGACCGCCGGGGUCAACUCGGAGGAAGGUGGGGACGACGUCAAGUCAUCAUGCCCCUUAUGUCUUGGGCUGCACACGUGCUACAAUGGCCGGUACAAUGAGCUGCGAUACCGUGAGGUGGAGCGAAUCUCAAAAAGCCGGUCUCAGUUCGGAUUGGGGUCUGCAACUCGACCCCAUGAAGUCGGAGUCGCUAGUAAUCGCAGAUCAGCAUUGCUGCGGUGAAUACGUUCCCGGGCCUU
rnacentral:rRNA from 1 species